UACGGGAGGCAGCAGUGGGGAAUAUUGCACAAUGGGCGAAAGCCUGAUGCAGCUAUGCCGCGUGUAUGAAGAAGGCCUUAGGGUUGUAAAGUACUUUCAUCGGGGAGGAAAAAACAAAACUAAUAAUUUUAUUUCUUGACGUUACCCGAAAAAGAAGCACCGGCUAACUCCGUGCCAGCAGCCGCGGUAAUACGGAGGGUGCUAGCGUUAAUCAGAAUUACUGGGCGUAAAGAGCACGUAGGUGGUUUUUUUAAGUCAGAUGUGAAAUCCCUGGGCUUAACCUAGGAACUGCAUUUUGAAACUGAAAUACUAGAGUAUCGUAGAGGGAGGUAGAAUUCUAGGUGUAGCGGUGAAAUGCGUAGAUAUUUUGGAGGAAUACCUGUGGCGAAAGCGGCCUCCUAAACGAAUACUGACACUGAGGGUGCGAAAGCGUGGGGAGCAAACAGGGAUUAGAUACC
rnacentral:rRNA from 1 species